rnacentral:rRNA from 1 species
CCCUUAGAUGUUCUGGGCUGCACGCGCGCUACACUGAUGCGAUCAACAAGUUUUUCCUAUGUCGAUAGACACGGGUAAUCUUUUGAACUCGCAUCGUGAUGGGGAUAGAUUAUUGUAAUUAUUAAUCUUCAACGAGGAAUUCCUAGUAGGCGCAAAUCAUCAGUUUGCAUCGAUUACGUCCCUGCCCUUUGUACACACCGCCCGUCGCUGCUACCGAUUGGUUGAUCUGGUGAAUUAUUCGGACUGCCGGCUGAAGGGGUUUCCUCAUCUGCCAGCGGAAAGUCUUGUUAACCCUAUCAACUAGAGGAAGCAGAAGUCGUAACA